rnacentral:rRNA from 1 species
GACGGAGGGUGCAAGCGUUGCUCGGAAUCACUGGGCGUAAAGGGCGCGUAGGCGGCCAGCACAAGUCAGUUGUGAAAUCUCCGAGCUUAACUCGGAAAGGUCAACUGAUACUGUGCGGCUAGAGUGCGGAAGGGGCAACUGGAAUUCUUGGUGUAGCGGUGAAAUGCGUAGAUAUCUGGAGGAAUACCGGUGGCGAAGGCGGCAUCCUGGACCGACAUUGACGCUGAUGAGCGAAAGCUAGGGGAGCAAACGGG